rnacentral:rRNA from 1 species
CCUACGGGAGGCAGCAGUGAGGAAUAUUGGUCAAUGGACGAGAGUCUGAACCAGCCAAGUAGCGUGAAGGAUGACUGCCCUAUGGGUUGUACACUUAUUUUAUAAAGGAAUAAAACGAGGCACGUGUGCCUUUUUGCAUGUACUUUAUGAAUAAGGAUCGGCUAACUCCGUGCCAGCAGCCGCGGUCAUACGGAGGAUACGAGCGUUAUCCGUAUUUAUUGGGUUUAACGGGAGCGUAGAUGGUUUGUUAAGUCAGUUGUGAAAGUUUGCGGCUCAACCGUAAAAUUGCAAUUGAUACUGGCAGUCUUGAGUACAGUUGAGGUAGGCGGAAUUCGUGGUGUAGCGGUGAAAUGCUUAGAUAUCACGAAGAACCCCGAUUGCGAAGGCAGCUUACUAAACUGUGACUGACAUUGAUGCUCGAAAGUGUGGGUAUCAAACAGGAUUAGAUACCCUUGUAGUC